GUCUCCGUGGCGCAAUUGGUUAGCGCGUUCGACUGUUACUUCCACCAAUCCCGGAUGGCUGCUAUCGAGAGGUUGACAGUUCAAUCCUGUCCGGGGACG
rfam:Puccinia graminis f. sp. tritici CRL 75-36-700-3 supercont2.157 genomic scaffold, whole genome shotgun sequence.